UAAGAAUAGCAUUUCCAACCCCAAGUUGACUGACACUACCAUACAUCCCAGAUAGCACAUAAGCAACAGCCUCACCAACAGCUAUCAGAAUGCCCAACAACUUUUGGGCUCCAUUUAGGAGAGCACGAUCCUCACGAACACUGUUGUCGACUUCAAUGAUCUUAGACCCAGCCAACAAUUGCAUCACCAAUCCAGAAGUGACAAUGGGAGUAAUCCCCAGUUCCAUGACAGUCCCACGAUUGGAUGCAAGAAUAACACGCAUCCAAUAAAAUGGAUCAGCACCAGUGGUGGAGUGUAUCCCAUAAAGUGGUAGCUGACUGCAGACGAGAAAGAUGAAGAG
rnacentral:misc_RNA from 1 species